rnacentral:rRNA from 1 species
GGUAGUACACCCAUAAACCAACACAUUAUGGCGGUCCUUAAAUAGUAGAGAAACUCGCUUUAUAAUCGAAAAUACUCGCUAAAUUUCACUACAGCAUAAAAGCCUAUAUACCGCCGCUUACAGGAACAACUUCAAUCACUCAUCCCUCUCCUUUAAUCAACGAUAAUCCAGGUCAAGGUGUAGCCAACGCCGUAGAAAAAGUAAGUUACACUAAAAACAAUUUAAGAACAUAAUAAAAUUUAAAUAGAAAAAGAAUUUACAUGUACACUAAAAUUAAAAACUUUAAUAGAAUAAUAUAAC